AUGGCUGUGUUAGUCAGCAGGUACACAGGCAAUGUGACAGACCCAAUCCUAACCCUUUCCCCCUUGAUUCCUCACACCCUACCCAUACCCCAUCCCUACCACACCCUUCUCUUACCAUCCCUACCACACCCUGCUGUUACCAUCACUACCACACCGUGCUGUUACCAUCCCUACCACACCCUGCUGUUACCAUCCCUACUACACCCUGCUGUUACCAUCACUACCAAACCCUGCUGUUACCAUCCCUACCACAUACUGUUGUUACCAUCCCUACCACACCCUGUUGUUACCAUCCCUACCAAACCCUGCUGUUACCAUCCCUACCACACCCUGUUGUUACCAUCCCUACCUCACCCUGCUGUUACCAACCCUACCUCACCCUGUUGUUACCAUCCUUACCACACCCUGUUGUUACCAACCCUACCACACCCUUUUGUUACCAUCCCUACCACACACUGUUGUUACCAUCCCUACCACACCCUGUUGUUACCAGCCCUACCACACCCUGCUGUUACCAGCCCUACCACACCCUGCUGUUACCAUCACUACCACACCCUGCUGUUACCAACCCUACCUCACUAUGCUGUUACCAUCACUACCACACACUGUUGUUACCAUCCCUACCACACCCUGUUGUUACCAUCCCUACCACACACUGUUGUUACCAUCCCUACCACACCCUGCUGUUACCAUCCCUACCACACCCUGUUGUUACCAUCCCUACCACACCCUGCUGUUACCAUCCCUACUACACCCUGCUGUUACCAUCACUACCUCACCCUGCUGUUACCAUCCCUACCACACCCUGUUGUUACCAUCCCUACCUCACCCUGCUGUUACCAGCCCUACCACACCCUGCUGUUACCAGCCAAACCACACCCUGCUGUUACCAGCCCAACCACACCUUGCUGUUACCAACCCUACCUCACCCUGUUGUUACCAUCCCUACCUCACCCUGCUGUUACCAUCCCUACCUCACCCUGCUGUUACCAUCCCUACCUAACCCUGCUGUUACCAGCUCAACCUCACCUUGCUUUUACCAUCACUACCACACCCUGUUGUUACCAUCCCUACCACACCCUGCUGUUACCAUCACUACCACACCCUACUGUUACCAUCCCUACCACACCCUGUUGUUACCAUCCCUACCACACCCUGCUGUUACCAUCCCUACCACACACUGUUGUUACCAUCCCUACCACACCCUGCUGUUACCAUCCCUACCACACCCUGCUGUUACCAUCCCUACCACACCCUGCUGUUACCAUCCCUACCACACCCUGCUGUUACCAACCCUACCUCACCCUGCUGUUACCAUCCACUACCACACACUGUUGUUACCAUCCCUACCACACCCUGUUGUUACCAUCCCUACCACACACUGUUGUUACCAUCCCUACCUCACCCUGCUGUUACCAUCCCUACCACACCCUGCUGUUACCAUCCCUACUACACCCUGCUGUUACCAUCCCUACCACACCCUGCUGUUACCAUCCCUACCACACACUGUUGUUACCAUCCCUACCACACCCUGUUGUUACCAUCCCUACCACACCCUGCUGUUACCAUCCCUACCACACCCUGUUGUUACCAUCCCUACCUCACCCUGCUGUUACCAACCCUACCUCACCCUGUUGUUACCAUCCUUACCACACCCUGUUGUUACCAUCCCUACCACACCCUGUUGUUACCAUCCCUACCACACACUGUUGUUACCAUCCCUACCUCACCCUGUUGUUACCAUCCCUACCACACCCUGUUGUUACCAUCCCUACCUCACCCUGCUGUUACCAUCCCUACCACACCCUGCUGUUACCAUCCCUACCACACCCUGUUGUUACCAUCCCUACCUCACCCUGCUGUUACCAUCCCUACCACACCCUGUUGUUACCAUCCCUACCACACCCUGCUGUUACCAUCCCUACCUCACCCUGCUGUUACCAUCCCUACCACACCCUGUUGUUACCAUCCCUACCACACCCUGUUGUUACCAUCCCUACCUCACCCUGCUGUUACCAUCCCUACCACACCCUGUUGUUACCAUCCCUACCACACCCUGCUGUUACCAUCCCUACCACACCCUGCUGUUACCAUCCCUACCACACCCUGCUGUUACCAUCCCUACCUCACACUGUUACCUUUUGUGUUGCCUUUUUCCAUUCUCACUGUUUCUGA
rnacentral:lncRNA from 8 species